CACGUAGGGGGCGAGCGUUGUCCGGAAUCAUUGGGCGUAAAGAGCUCGUAGGCGGCUCAGUAAGUCGGGUGUGAAACCCUCAGGCUCAACCUGGGGACGCCACCCGAUACUGCUGUGGCUAGAGUCCAGUAGGGGAGUGUGGAAUUCCUGGUGUAGCGGUGAAAUGCGUAGAUAUCAGGAGGAACACCGGUGGCGAAGGCGGGUCUCUGGGCCGAUACUGACGCUGAGGAGCGAAAGCGUGGGGAGCGAACAGG
rnacentral:rRNA from 1 species